AGUGAACGCUGGCGGCGUGCUUAACACAUGCAAGUCGAACGAGAACGGAUUAUAGCUUGCUAUAAUUGUCAGCUAAGUGGCGCACGGGUGAGUAAUGUAUAGGUAAUAUGCCUCUUACUAAGGGAUAACAAAUGGAAACGUUUGCUAAUACCUUAUACUCCUUAUUAACAGAAGUUAAUAAGGGAAAGAUUUAUUGGUAAGAGAUUAGCCUGUAUUGUAUCAGUUAGUUGGUGGGGUAAUGGCUUACCAAGACUAUGACACAUAACUGGUUUGAGAGGAUGAUCAGUCACACUGGCACUGAGACACGGUCCCGACUCCUACGAGAGGCAGCAGUGGGGAAUAUUGCACAAUGGACGAAAGUCUGAUGCAGCAGCGCCGCGUGGAGGAUGACACAUUUCGGUGCGUAAACUCCUUUUAUAUGAGAAGAUAAUGACGGUAUUAUAUGAAUAAGCACCGGCUAACUCCGUGCCAGCCGCCGCCGUAA
rnacentral:rRNA from 1 species